UUCCGUAGGUGAACCUGCGGAAGGAUCAUUCACACAUAUCCACUCAUUUCACUGUGAACCUCCUUUUAUGAGUUCUUGCACGGGUUUGGGAGCUUCGUCUUGCUCUCUCGUGCUUGAAGUCGCGGGUAGUGGAGCAGCCUUGGACCGUCUUCCUUUGCUGUGAAGCUAUCGUUAUUUGUAGCAAUACACAUGUGUCUUCAUGUAGCUCUGGGUGGUGUCAACCACUUUUCUUUCGAAUACAACUUUCAGCGACGGAUGUCUCGGCUCGAACAACGAUGAAGGGCGCAGCGAAGUGUGAUAAGCAUUGUGAAUUGCAGAAUUCCGUGAACCAAUAGGGAUUUGAACGUAUACUGCGCUUUCGGGCUAUUCCUGAAAGCAUGCCUGCUUCAGUGUCUAUUGAUAUUCAUACCACCAGCGAUAUCCACUUGUGGUGUGCUGUGUGAGUGUAUUUGUGUGUCAAGGAGCUUCGUGCCCUUGACACAUUGAGUUGUCGGGUGCUGUCUGUGGCAAGCAAUUGGAAUAACACCUCGUGUGUGCCUUCUUGCUUUCUGCAGUUGUGUGCCUGGUCAUCCACUUUUUCAUCAAGACAUGAAGUUAGGUCAGCAAACCCGCUGAAUUUAAGCAUAUCAAUAAGC
rnacentral:rRNA from 1 species